ACGCUCGACACCUACGGGAGGCAGCAGUGGGGAAUAUUGCACAAUGGAGGAAACUCUGAUGCAGCGAUGCCGCGUGAGGGAAGAAGUUUCGGAUUGUAAACCUCUGUCUUUGGGGACAUAAUGACGGUACCCAAGGAGGAAGCUCCGGCUAACUACGUGCUAGCAGCCGCGGUAAUCUGAGCGGGCUGGCAAGGC
rnacentral:rRNA from 1 species